CGGCCAUCAGGAUCACAGCGGCCGCAGUCGUCACUCCGUUGGCACGAACUCCAUGAAGCAGCCAGCAUCCUUUCUUCGACGAAAAGAAGACUUAGCUCCGGACACCUUGCCUCUUAUUGUAUUUGUAUUCAAGUGCCUGAUACAAAGAUUAUCUGAGCCUGUGACUGAAUCGCACUGAAGCUAACGACGUAGACGUUCCGAUCAGCUGUUGGUCGUUGGGUGGGUGAACUAGGAGCCAACUUAGACGGCGUAUCCCUACCGUAUAUUUGGUAUAUCUUUUUUAUCGAAUGGUGCUUGUUAUUGUGUGUUCUUUACUUUGAUAUGUUUAGUCUAUUUUUACAAGUUGGUAUGAUAUGAGGUUUAUCAGUAGUUCAUUACCACCACCUACGUUCUCUUACAAGUUUAUAUGUAUGAUUUAUGAGCAUUAUCAAACAGUAGGUGAUAUGAACCGUAUUCAUGUUGACAAAUGAGGAAAGGUAUGAAUGAGACCGAAUAUUUUCACAAUACAAGAGAUGUAUU